UGACUGAUGGCAGCAGUAAUCAUGGU
rnacentral:piRNA from 1 species